GAUGGAUUCAAAUAGCUUUCCUGUUCAAAUGUUCUACAGUUAUUUGUUCCUUGGAAUAUGACAUUAACAUGAGAAGCAAUAUUCAAAUAUAAUUUUAUUGCUUAACAAAAUCACUAAUUGGUUGAUGGGUUAAAAAACUCACUUGUUGUAUGUGCAGAAAGAUAUUAAUGGUUUUAACUUUAAGGCAGUGCUGCCAGUGCCAAGACUAACCUAUUUUGCUUGUCUUACCUGCAAAUAAUUCAAAUUGAGUCCCUUUCUUUUGAGGGGGUUCUUCUCAAUCCA
rnacentral:misc_RNA from 1 species